GAUGAACGCUAGCGGCAGGCUUAAUACAUGCAAGUCGAGGGGUAGCAAGAUUGUAGCAAUACGAUUGUUGACGACCGGCAAACGGGUGCGGAACACGUACACAACCUUCCUACAAGUGGGGAAUAGCCCAGAGAAAUUUGGAUUAAUACCCCGUAACAUAGCGAUGUGGCAUCACAUUGCUAUUAUAGCUUCGGCGCUUGUUGAUUGGUGUGCGGCUGAUUAGAUAGUUGGCGGGGUAACGGCCCACCAAGUCUACGAUCAGUAGCUGAUGUGAGAGCAUGAUCAGCCACACGGGCACUGAGACACGGGCCCGACUCCUACGGGAGGCAGCAGUAAGGAAUAUUGGACAAUGGACGCAAGUCUGAUCCAGCCAUGCCGCGUGAAGGAUUAAGGUCCUCUGGAUUGUAAACUUCUUUUAUAAGGGACGAAAAAAGGUCUUUCUAGAUCGUCUGACGGUACCUUAUGAAUAAGCACCGGCUAACUCCGUGCCAGCCGCCGCAGUAAGAC
rnacentral:rRNA from 1 species